GUGAUGAGGGUUCGGGACACUAUGGAUGGGUGAUAGGCACCUGGAGGGCUGA
rnacentral:snoRNA from 1 species